UACGUAGGUGGCAAGCGUUGUCCGGAUUUACUGGGCGUAAAGAGCGCGCAGGCGGUCGUUCAAGUCGCGUGUGAAAGCCCCCGGCUCAACUGGGGAGGGUCACGCGAUACUGAUCGACUCGAAGGCAGGAGAGGGAAGUGGAAUUCCCGGUGUAGUGGUGAAAUGCGUAGAUAUCGGGAGGAACACCUGAGGUGAAGACGGGUUGCUGGGCCGACACUGACGCUGAGGCGCGAAAGCUAGGGGAGCAAACGGG
rnacentral:rRNA from 1 species